rnacentral:rRNA from 1 species
CCUACGGGAGGCAGCAGUGGGGAAUUUUGGACAAUGGGCGCAAGCCUGAUCCAGCAAUGCCGCGUGAGUGAAGAAGGCCUUCGGGUUGUAAAGCUCUUUUGUCAGGGAAGAAACGGUCUGUUCUAAUACAGCGGGCUAAUGACGGUACCUGAAGAAUAAGCACCGGCUAACUACGUGCCAGCAGCCGCGGUAAUACGUAGGGUGCAAGCGUUAAUCGGAAUUACUGGGCGUAAAGCGUGCGCAGGCGGUUUUGUAAGUUUGUCGUGAAAUCCCCGGGCUCAACCUGGGAAUGGCGAUGAAGACUGCAAGGCUAGAGUUUGGCAGAGGGGGGUAGAAUUCCACGUGUAGCAGUGAAAUGCGUAGAUAUGUGGAGGAACACCGAUGGCGAAGGCAGCCCCCUGGGUCAAAACUGACGCUCAUGCACGAAAGCGUGGGGAGCAAACAGGAUUAGAUACCCUGGUAGUCCACGCCCUAAACGAUGUCUACUAGUUGUCGGGUCUUAAUUGACUUGGUAACGCAGCUAACGCGUGAAGUAGACCGCCUGGGGAGUACGGUCGCAAGAUUAAAACUCAAAGAGUAGAGGCGUGAGAGAGCGACGACGACGACGACGGAGGAGGAGG